rnacentral:rRNA from 1 species
GACGAACGCUGGCGGCGUGCUUAACACAUGCAAGUCGAACGGAAAGGCCCUGCUUUUGUGGGGUGCUCGAGUGGCGAACGGGUGAGUAACACGUGAGUAACCUGCCCUUGACUUUGGGAUAACUUCAGGAAACUGGGGCUAAUACCGGAUAGGAGCUCCUGCUGCAUGGUGGGGGUUGGAAAGUUUCGGCGGUUGGGGAUGGACUCGCGGCUUAUCAGCUUGUUGGUGGGGUAGUGGCUUACCAAGGCUUUGACGGGUAGCCGGCCUGAGAGGGUGACCGGCCAAUUGGGGAAGGGGAUACGCCCCAGCCCCCACGGGGGGGAAGGGGGGGGGAAUUUGGCAAAAGGGGGGGAGCCCUGAUGGAGAACCCCCGGGUGGGGGAGGCCGGCUUUGGGGUUGAAACCCCUUUUCCCCUGUGACGAAGGGGGAGGGACGGAAAUGGGUAAAAAAGCACCGGUAAACUAGGU